rnacentral:rRNA from 1 species
ACGGGGGGGGCAAGCGUUGUUCGGAAUUAUUGGGCGUAAAGGGCGCGUAGGCGGCCCGGUAAGUCAAAGGUGAAAUCCCUCGGCUCAACUGAGGAAUUGCCUUUGAAACUGCAGGGCUUGAGUCCGGGAGGGGGUAGCGGAAUUCCCAGUGUAGCGGUGAAAUGCGUAGAUACUGGGAGGAACACCAGUGGCGAAGGCGGCUACCUGGACCGGAACUGACGCUGAUGCGCGAAAGCGUGGGGAGCAAACAGGA